UUUCUAAACAGGUCACCUCCCCAUAUCCUAAUAACCUUUCAUUUCCAUUACUUCUGGUGGGUGGGUGGGCUAGAAGGGGAGUUAAAGCACUUAAGAGCCUCGUUAAAGUUAGGGUUGAGAAAAAUUUAAACUUACAGUUGAGAACCACUGGGUUAGAUCCCACAGCCUUCACUUAACUAGAUCUGGGUGAGCAGCUGGUGUUCUCUCUCUCUCUCUCUCUCUCUCUCUCUCUCCUUGAUUUUUUCUUUAUCCCCUUUAUCCAGUCUCUUUAUCCUCUUAUCACCCUACUGUGCCCGCCGUACUUAGUUCUGUGGGUAUUCUUUAAGCAUAUUUAUUUUUUAUCUUAUGUGUAUGAGUGUUUGCCUGACUAUGUCUAUGUACCACGUGAAAACAGAUGCCUGCAGAGGCCAGAAGAAGGCAUUAGAUCCCCAGAGGCUAGAGUUACAGAUGGUUGUGAGCCACUGUAUGGAUCCUGAGCUGAGAGUAGCAAUUGGGUCCAGAAACCGGCCAGUGCACUUAAUCACUGAGCCAUCUCUCCAGUCCCUGGUUUUGUUGUUGUUGUUUAUUUGUUUGGGGGUUUUUUGGGGGAAGGGCGGAUAGGGCCUCAUUAUGUAGCUGGAUAGAACUGGAACUAAGUAUGACCCCCUGCCUCAGCCUCUGGAGUGUCGAGAUUAACAUAACAGCAAGCUAAUUAGAUAUGACAAAUAUUUAGUUCUGUGAUGACCUCUUUUUUUUUUUUUUGGUUCUUUUUUUCGGAGCUGGGGACCGAACCCAGGGCCUUGCGCUUCCUAGUCUCAGGGUCUCCGUCUGUCUACCUGUGGUAAUAACUGAGUGAUGACAUCACCAAGGAUUUUGCAUUCUUAAGACUGCAGUCAUAGGCUCCGUAUGUGAACUCGUUUGCAUCUCUGCGGGCUUUAAAUGUUGCACAACUCCACGGAAGAAGAAACUCUGCCACAAGGCCCGUUCCUAUUGCAAAGCCCCAUGUCUUUGAGAUGUCUGUUUCUACUCCACCACUCUCGGCUGAGGCCAUGUGAAAGCUUAUGUGAGCACCUUGCAUCACAGGAUAAACACGAGGCUGCUCUCUGUCCCUUCAGGACGAAGGAGCGGUGGGGAAGUCACAGGACACUCACCUGAGGAUCCAUCCACUCCCACCACCCAGGUCCAGCAGCAGUGAGUGACCAGAAGCAGGCCAUUGCCAGGUAUCCUUGAAGGGCAGGGAGUCUGUCCAGCCACGCCCAGGAAAGCACGCCCGUCCUGGAGCAUGUUCGGGUGUGGCCUUGGAAGAUAUGCAACUGAGAGCAGAGGUCAGAACAGAACCAGAUCAGAAGGGCUUUGCUUGGCCAGGCCGUUUGGCUCUGCAGCACACCUGGAUCCCAUUCCUAGACUGUCCGGCUCUGAUUGGUGCCCACUGCAGGCUCCGCCUCCAGCUCUUUGGAUGAGAAAAUAUGGACGCCUGUGUUUUAAGAACUGAAACUGUCCUGGGACCUCGGCCCACUGGAGUUUGCUGCCACAUUUAAGGUGGUUCCUCCCAGCUCCGUUAAUUCCAUCUAGAGAGUACCUCACCCACACGGACAGGUUUGUCUCCCAGGUGAUUCUAGACCCUGUCAAACUGGCUGUAUUAAAGUGUCACGUGCUGGUUGCUGUAAGGACAGUCCCCAGAAGCUGCCUUCUCUAAGCACCCACAGUGCUGAGACUCUGGCCUUGACCGCUCAUACUUCAAGUUGGGCUGCAUUUCUGAGAGUUCUGCUACAGGGGCAUGGCUGUGCUCUCCCGGGGCAGGGGCCUCCCCAGGUUCAGAACCCUUGAAUCACCACUAUCUAUCUCCCUCUGCCCUUUUCCCUCCUUCCUGGCCCCCUCUCUUAAAAACCUUACUGUGCGGCAUGGAGAACCCCAGCAGGAGCUCCUGCAGGGAGAGAGAAGGCACACUGGUGAGGAAGCUUGCUUCUUUCUCAGCUGUAGCUGGGGCCAAGCCUACAGCCUCUUGUCAGUAAGUACACCCAGGGCUGCAGAGAAAGGCCCCAUCAUUGGGAAAGAGAAGGGGCUUUCAAGUCUUUCACUUUCCUGUCUGUCAUUGUUCUUAAAGUUUCAGGGUAAAACUAGGGCCUAAUGCAGCCACGAAACACCCGAGCUGUUCAAGGCAGGCCUUGUGCAAAACGCUGCAGGAUUUCGGACAGGAAGUUGUGUGGCUGUGUGGGCGUGAGGACCAGCUUCCUCCCUCUCUGACACUUUCUACGCUUUGGGGACCUUGCUCAGCAGUCUCCCCUCCCCCAAGCCCAGCAGACCCUCCUGAGGCCUCACACAGCCUCUGCCCCAGCAAGAGUGAAAACAGCAGGGUGAAUCCCAUCCUCUCUCAUCCCUGUCCCUCAUCUCCCCUAGACACGUGACCAUUUCUGACACCACACAGGACUUUCACUUCUUCAGAGUAGAAGCACUUGUAGAGUGUCUGGUUUUCGGAAUACUUGUCCUACCCUGCUUUCUCAGAGGAGGCUUGAUCUUGUUAUCCUUGUCUGGGUUCCUUGCCUCUGAAAGCAUAGUUUCUAGGUAACAAGCAGGGGCGGUCUGUAUACCCUGUAGCUACGGAGGGAGUCUCAGGAGUUCAGAAGCUAAUUUGAAUAGAGUUAUUGAUAGUGGAUAGAGCAAUUUGCAUACUGGAACUAAGUGGGUGGCUCUAGGAUGUUUAGGAAAUGACCCACAGAGUCUGUAGAUUCUGGGGCUCCAAAUCCAUUUCUCACAGAUGGGCUACCCUUAACUGCAGUCCCUGCCAACAUUCUGCUACAAGAACAUGUCAGAUUCAGAUUCCAGUAGCAGGAGCCUGCCCUGAUCAGCUGCUGGGAAGGCACUGUGGCCCAACUUGAAGAACUCUUGAAUUAGUGCCUCCCUCUCCUGGAACCUGAGAGCCUUGAUCUACAAACUGAAGGGCAGAAGGCAUGACUUUAACGCUUCACGGACUUAAAAUGCUGUAUCCUGUGAUUCUCCCAGCAGACGUAAACCUUGUCAUCUAACAGCAGCCUUCUUCAGCCUCAGAAAGGAACUGUGCAAUUUUAGCCCUUGCAUGUUAAGAGACCAGGAGGAGGGGUGCCUUCCAAGGCAGAGGGGCUUGCAGAGUAGCCAAUAUCAAGCCCUUCGUCCAGGAAGGGCUACAGUCUAUUCUCUUUCUU
rnacentral:sRNA from 1 species